rnacentral:lncRNA from 1 species
GCUGUUAUCCCUCGCUGGACUGCGGUAACAGUACAUUCUGCUGAGUCACUUGCACAUCGGAAUGCCCAAACAGAAACACGAAUGCCAGAACCCUUUCCUGUUCAGAAGAGGAAGCCCACUGACGCCACGUACCGAAGCUAGAUUGCCCCCCAGCCUUUCCUGUAUGACAUCCAGAAAAUGGCAGUUCUGAUGGGGCCGAGGAGGCAGGAUCAUUCCGCGGCUGAGCUAGCGCGGCGCAGCAAGGGUUGAAGGCUGUCCUGGAGGCGUAAGGAGAAAGAAAGAGACAAUAAAGCUGGAAGGAGAAGUUUCUGGGAGGGAGACAGCGCGUGCCUGCCCUCAGAGCUGUCGCUGCUCGGGAGACAAGCCUCAGGAGGGAGUGCAAGGGACAGCCAGGCACUAGAGGCCUGGGCGCUGUGACUCGAGUUCUCCAACUCGCCCGAGACAUCCGGCCUCUACAGAGCAGCAGCAGGUCUGCCACAGCGGCCGCAGCAGACUCCCCGAGGCCUCCCCCGCCUGGGGCCCGGUGAGACCCCAGGGUUUGACCCCUUCGCAGGAAGCAGCCCCAAGAAGGCCUACGGUUUAACUUCUUC